rnacentral:rRNA from 1 species
UUUAAUUCGAAGCAACGCGAAGAACCUUACCAGGUCUUGACAUCCCGAUGCCCGCUCUAGAGAUAGAGUUUUACUUCGGUACAUCGGUGACAGGUGGUGCAUGGUUGUCGUCAGCUCGUGUCGUGAGAUGUUGGGUUAAGUCCCGCAACGAGCGCAACCCUUAUUGUUAGUUGCCAUCAUUCAGUUGGGCACUCUAGCGAGACUGCCGGUAAUAAACCGGAGGAAGGUGGGGAUGACGUCAAAUCAUCAUGCCCCUUAUGACCUGGGCUACACACGUGCUACAAUGGCUGGUACAACGAGUCGCAAGUCGGUGACGGCAAGCUAAUCUCUUAAAGCCAGUCUCAGUUCGGAUUGUAGGCUGCAACUCGCCUACAUGAAGUCGGAAUCGCUAGUAAUCGCGGAUCAGCACGCCG